CGCUCGUUGGAGAUGUGAGACGGAUCCCGAUACCCGAUCCUUGCUUGGAUGAGGAUCCGUCGACGUGGAGGAGCCAGGUGGAAUUUGGUUCCUCAUUGGUUAUUGCUCCCGUUGGAAGUUCGACCAAGAAGUCUGCGAGCACUUGUGAUUUUGCGCUCGUCCUUGGUCGGUAUUCGAUGUCAUACUCGCUCAACUCGACCGCCCACUUAGCCAAUCGACCUGAUUGACUUGGGCUAUGCAAAAUUGUCCGUAAGGGAAAAGUCGUGAGG
rnacentral:lncRNA from 1 species